UUGAAUAUUGUGUUUAACUCCAUUGUAAU
rnacentral:sRNA from 1 species